UAACCUUUUAGGAACCAGCCGCCUAAGGUGGGACAGAUGAUUAGGGUGAAGUCGUAACAAGGUAGCCGUAGGAGAACCUGCGGCUGGAUCACCUCCUUUCUAAGGAA
rnacentral:rRNA from 1 species